rnacentral:tRNA from 1 species
GCCUCCGUAGCUUAGCAGGUAGAGCGUGUGGCUGUUAACCACAAGGUCACCAGUUCGAGUCUGGUCGGAGGCG